CCGAUACCAAAAUGUGAUGUGUUUACACACAGAUCACUGACUGGGCAGUGAGAAUCAUUACCAGCGUCAUUUGAUUUGCAACACAUGAAUACGCAUUUUAAAGGGGUCAUAUGGCGGAAGUACGUGUUUUUGGUGUGUUAUAAGUUGCCAAUGCAUGUAUUAGCCACGUAAAAUUGCACAAAUGAAAGUGUGGGAACAAAAGAUGCAUUCUAUCUAAAAGCGAAUGCUCAACCAGACUUGCCUGAAACGCCUCGUGUAACCACACCCCAGCAAAUCUACGUAACUUCGUAAUAUGAUUUGACUAAGACAGCCCAAAUCUAAACGUAGUUAAGGUGGGCGUAAUUGUAAAAUUCAUUGUAUCGCUUGUCAGUACAAUUGCUUUGGAACCUGAUGUUCCGAAUAUGGUAAGAGACGUCACAUUUCCGUGAAAUGCUUGCAGUAUUUGACCAAUCACUACACACUGGUGAACUGGCCAAUCAUAGCACACCUCGCUUUUCAGAGCGAUGAGCUUUGUAAAAAAUCAGCGCGUUUCAGAGAGGCGGGGCAAAGAGGAGAUACGAACAUGCACGGAACGAGGGUGGUGAGGACACAAGUACAGAGGACCCAGACGCAGACAGCGGAGUUUCGUAUGUGACCUUGUCCUGGGAGUGAACUUGGAAGAGACGGGCAUUUCUCGCAGUGCUAACCAAGUAUCAGUUCAGCUCAGAAGUCUGACAACUGUGUCAUACUUGAUGUUUUAAAGGUGAAUCAUAAGCCAAGCUCUAAACCACUGCAGGUCUGACUUUGACGGUUGAGGCAAAUUCAAUGACACAUUCAAAGGCUCCUGAAAACACCUGAGACUGACAGACACAGCUCUGGUUCUGAUGCUCAAGGUUGAUGACCACAGCCAUAGAUGGAAAGUGGUGGGAAUCUGCGAUGAUCAUGGCCUGCAAUUUGAGCCCCAUGCCAGAUGUUACUUUUGAGUUGCCAGAAACUCAAAAUCAUUACCACACAUAAAAAUAAUGGAUGUAGUUAUCUGCAAACAAUAUAAGAUGAUUUCUUGGCUGCACUGCUUGCUGUAUAAUCUUGCUGAUCAGUUAAAUUUAAAUAGUAAUCAUGUAUUUUUAUAAUUUUCCUGGUUAUAUAUAUAUUUUUAUUUCUAUACAUUUUUGUUGUCACAUUUCUACUGCUUUUGUGCUAAAAUGGACUAAAACGUAUUUUUUUACUUUUUCCUUUGUCUCUGUUUAGGGCUAAUAUGCUUUUUUUCUGUAAAGCUGCUUUGCAACAAUGCAAAAUUGUGAAAGGUAUUAAUAUGUACAAAUAUAAUGAAUGUUUCAUGACA